rnacentral:rRNA from 1 species
GACGAACCGUGCGAACGUUAUUCGGAAUCACUGGGCUUAAAGCGCGUGUAGGCGGCCCGGCACGUCAUUGGCUGAAAUCCCCCGGCUCAACCGGGGAAGUGGCCGUGAUACGACCGGGCUGGAGGGGGGUAGGGGGGACGGGAACUCACGGUGGAGCGGUGAAAUGCGUUGAGAUCGUGAGGAACGCCCGCGGCGAAAGCGCGUCCCUGGACCCCACCUGACGCUGAGACGCGAAAGCCAGGGGAGCGAACGGG